UGCAACCCUUGAGGGCCCUGGCGGUAGCUGCCGGGGACCCCAGAUGGUAGAAUGUUUGUUCACUCGAUGACUGAUGGCCCCUGGAUUGCCACGGAAGUACUUCCGAGAGGAAGAUGAGGCAGCCCGGGCCCGAAGGCCAGGGGGUUUGGAAGGAAACAACAUUCGUGUGGUUAACUGAUAACCGGGCCCCAUCCUUGGGCCCCCAGAAGCCUCCUUCCUCACGCUCCUCAGCAUGAUUAAGAUGAACUUACCUGCCUGCUAAUCAUUGCUGACUCUGUUGAUUUUGCCUUAAAAAAUUAACUGGGCAUGAGUUUGCGGUUUGCUUCACCCCUAACCCUGAAAAAGCCCUGGUGGGCAGGAGGCCGCCCGGGUUAUGCAAGAGGCCGCUGGCCUCCCCACACAUCCAGCUCCUCUUCAGCUGCUCUCCGAAGGGCACAUGACAGGAUUAUACUUCCUGGCUUCCUUUGCCGUUAGAUGUGACCAUGUGACUUGUUUCUGCUAAUGAAACGUGAGCAGAAACAAUGCAUCUGGGGCACCUGGGCAGAAACGUCAAGAACGAGUGCUGCAGCUGUGGACACCAGUGGAGCUACGGAGUCACCAGGAUGAGAACCCGACUGCCAGCCCCUGACAGACAUGUGCCAUAAUGAGCGAGAAGCCUCGGCUGUGGUCCCUGGGCCCUUGGUCUGUUCUUUUGUUCAGAAAGGAGGUUCCUAAGUGUUUCCAUCUUUUGGACCCCCAAAAGCUGGCUGAGACUGUCAGAUGUUUGGAGGCAGCAUAGAGGCUGAGAGUACAAAUUCUAGAGCCUGACUUUCUGGGCUUAAAUUCUGUUUCUGUCAUGGACAAGCUGUGUGACCUUGGAAUGAAGCGCUGGUGAGGAUGUGGAGCCACCAAAACCCCUAGACAGCACUGACUGAAGUGGUAGUUGGUAAGACUGAGCAGUUUACCAAUAUCUCAACAAUGCGAAGAUGCUCGUUGCCUGGGAUCCAAAAAUUCCACUCCUUCAUGUCACCCUAAAGAAGCCCUCAUCCGCGGGACUCUCGGUGCUCCCUUUGGCCUCGCUCCCUUCCACCUCACCAUGCUGAAGACCCAGCGACCAGGGAACACGAUGGAUUUCACCCCGGGUCUACUCCAAAAGGGCCCGGGCUGCCGGGAGAGCUGUGACCUGCAUAUCCACACUUGUUGGAACCCGAGCAUUCCCACCCUGGCUUCCAGGGGAAGAAACUGAGUCCCAGAGAUGACAAGGGCCUGAUGUUCCUUUUCAAGUCAGAACCAGAGUCAAGACCAGCCCAGAGGCCAGGCCCUGUCUGGGAAGCUGCCCAUUGGGUCUCUAGCGAAUUAUGUGUGAUGAUCGCUGAACAAGUAAGUCAUGUGCCUCCACGUCUGAGAAGAGGAGGUGGGGAGCCAGCAUAAGGACUUGCUGCCCAGAUCAGAGUCAUUUCUCAGGAACAAGAGAAAUCAUCCAAGAAGCAAUCAGAAAAGUUCCAAGAUACUUUCAAGAAAGAAUGGAAUUAAUCGCAGUCAAAUCUCAUAGAAUCUUCACAACAACCAAGGCUCAUUUGAUGAAUGAAGAAAUUGAAGAUUAGAGAGCUAAGGCAAGUGCUCACCAUUGCACAGCUUUAAGUGAGAAAGCCACUUAUCCAAAGUGACUCUGACAACAACCUCUGAUAAGGCCUAUGGCUGAGGCCAUUGGUGAAAGGAACUAGACCUAUACACCCAGGAAAGAUCAGGCACAUCUGGCCUUUAGAAACAUAUGCUGCCCUGAUGGAGGACUGUUAACCAGUGUCCAAAUUGCGCCCUCUCUUUUUACCUGUUCUGUCCUGAACACCUGCAAGUGCUGCUUUUCCAGCCCAGCCUAUCACAUACUCCAUCCACCCAUCCAUCUGUCUUUUUAUCUUUCCACCCUCAUCACCUCAUUUAUCCAUACAUCCACCCGCCCAUCUAGCCAGUUACUUAUUCAUCCACUUAUCACAUUCAUCCACACAUCUCUCCAUCCAUCCCACCCAUCUGUCACAUCUACUUAUCCAUUAAUCUAUCAUCUGCCAUGCCCACCCAUCCAUCCAUCUACCCACCCACCCAUCUUCCCAGUUUUACACUCAUUCAUUGAUCUUAUCCAUCCAUCUCUCCAUCCAGUCCAUUCCCAUCCACCCAUCUGCCCACCAACCCAUCAUGUCCAUUCAUCAAACCAUCUACUUAUCCACCCACCCAGACAUCUCCUCAUUCAUCCAUCCAUCUUCCCAUUCAUUCAUUCAUUAAAUAAACUUCCAUCAAUGUCAACAUAGAGUCAGACCCUGUGGUAGCCUGGAGUUUAACAAAAAGAAUCAGACAAAUACAGACCUUGCCCUCAAAGAGAUUUGAGGUGCUUACAAAAAUAACAAGUUCCUGAAGAGCCAAAAUAAUAAUCCAGAGAAGCUUGUUGAAAGGAAAACAAGGGUAGGAAAAUAACAAAGCUAUGAGUCAGGUGAGACACAGAUACGCAUGCUAUAGCAUCUCACCCUCACAAUUGCUAAGGCAGCUCCAGAUUUGCCUCCCUAGCUAGAGUCUGGCACCCAAAGCAAUACUGCCACAGAAGAGUCACAGGAUACUCAGUUGUGGCAGACGCUGCCCAGUAGCCUGCUUCCUUAUGACACGGUGGAGUUAUAUUUACCCAGGGCACAUCUGGAAAUGUCUGGAGACAUUUUUGGUUGGCACAACUGAUGGGGAGGGAUGCUCCUGGCAUUUAGUGACUCAAAGCCAGGAAGGCUGCUAAACAUCUUACUAAGCACAGGACAGCCCACCACAGCAGAGAAUCAUCCAAGCCAAGGUGUCAAUAAUGCCAAAACUGAGAAGUUUUUUUAUUAGAGAACAUCAGUUUUGUUUGGAGCAGCAUUGUGCCAAACCUCAAGAAAAGAACAUUGUCAGUCUAAGUCAGUCUUGGAUUUCCCAUUUCUUUCUGUAAGACACUUGAUUUCCCAGUGUUCCUGAACUAGGGAAGUCUGCUGGGAGAUGUCUAGAGAAAAAUUGCUUUUUGAUUACAAAACAAGUGCUUUGAGAAUAUUCCUCCCAGCUUCAGCCACCUAAGUGCAGGCCUGAUGCCUGAGGCUGUGACAGCUACCAUGGGUCUGUAAUGGAACGAAUACAAGGACCAAGAGCCAACAUAGUGGGCAUGGCAGAGAAGAAGGAAGGGAAGAGCAUGGAUCUGGCUGGCAUUGUUAGCCACUGUCAUGUUUCUUAAAACCUUCCUCAGUUCAUUCAUCCACCAAUUCUUAUUGAGCAUUUAUUCUGUGCCAGUCACUGUGGGAGUGGGCAAGACUGAACAAACCAUUGAAGUCCCUGACCUCAUAGAGCUUAUGGUCUAGUGGGGGGAGACAAACACCACAACACACGCGGACAACUGAUCAGAGCAAUGAUGAGAACUGCAGUGCAGAACCCAGUGGGUCGGGAACGCGUUGCCAGGCUGGCGGAAGGUCAAGUUUACCCAAUAUCACUACACCAAAGGUCAACUCAUUAUAGACUGUCCUACUAAAGUUUAAAAAUGUGAGCAGCUGGGAUUUAUUGCAUGCUUACUGGUGCCAGGCACUUCUCUAAGCACUCUUGCAUUAAUUUACUUGAUGCUGGCCACAACCUUGCCCUCUAUCGCCUCUCCUGAGGCUGUCCGCCCAGCCAUAUCUGCAGCUUAGCCAAGAGGGUCAGCACAGAUGGAUGCUAUCAGGCCAAGAAUCAGAUGAUUUUGUUUUUCAAACAAUCCUUAGUUUUAGUUUUAGCUUCUCUCCUUGGAGAUAACAUAUUAUUUAUCUGUAGCAACUGUUGUGAGAAUUAAGUGAAUAGGCAUAGAUUAUCCAUCCAUCCAACCAUCCAGCAAAGGCCUGUUGAAUGCUUGCUAUGCGAUGAGCACAGCGCGGAAGUUGGGAUGAAGGGACGAGAGGACAUCCUAUGAAGUAGACAGACGCAGGAGACAGAGAGACGCUGUCAGGUUAUGUCAUUAUUCAAUUAAUCUUUGGGAGGAACUCUGUGGGGCCUUCUGUUUACCUCUAGCCUAGGCUGGCGGCCUGGGCUGUCCUUCCUCAAAAGCUAUCUGGCUCCUUUGGCAGACAAUGAAUCUUCCUCUGGCCAAAGGGUCAACCGAGUUUUACAAUUGUGUUUAACCUUGGAUGAAGCACCUGAGGCAAGCCCACCCCUUUACCUGUGCUAUCUCUUUUAAUCACACUGCCUGUUGUGAGAUAGGUCCUGUUGUUGUCUCCACUUUACAGAUGAGGAAAUAGAUUCAGAGAGGGGAAGUGACUUGCCCAAGGUCACACAGCUGGUAUGGGGAAUGUGUCCCCAGGCCAUUUUUAGUUCUUCAGCCUCUGCUGUUUCCACUGCC